UAGGGAAUCUUCCGCAAUGGACGAAAGUCUGACGGAGCAACGCCGCGUGAGUGAAGAAGGAUUACGGUUCGUAAAACUCUGUUGUUAGGGAAGAAAAAAUGUAUAGUAACUAUAUACAAAAGAGACGGUACCUAACCAGAAAGCCACGGCUAACUACGUGCCAGCAGCCGCGGUAAUACGUAGGUGGCAAGCGUUGUCCGGAAUUAUUGGGCGUAAAGCGCGCGCAGGUGGUUUAGAAAGUCUGAUGUGAAAGCCCACGGCUCAACCGUGGAGGGUCAUUGGAAACUAAUAAACUUGAGUGCAGGAGAGAAAAGUGGAAUUCCUAGUGUAGCGGUGAAAUGCGUAGAGAUUAGGAGGAACACCGGUGGCGAAAGCGGCUUUUUGGCCUGCAACUGACACUGAGGCGCGAAAGCGUGGGGAGCAAACAGG
rnacentral:rRNA from 1 species